GCGUCGCUAAGGAGCGACGGGCUGUCGGCCAGACCCCGAGUUCUCGGUGCGCUCAGCGGCCGCCGACGCUAGGAGGCCGCGCUCCGCCCCCGCUACCAUGAGGCCCCGGAAAGCCUUCCUGCUCCUGCUGCUCUUGGGGCUGGUGCAGCUGCUGGCCGUGGCGGGUGCCGAGGGCCCGGACGAGGAUGAAGUGUCACUCUGUCACCCAGGCUGGAAUGCAAUGGCGCGAUCUCGGCUCACUGUAACCUCCGCCUCCCAGGUUCAAGCGAUUCUUCUGCCUCAGCCUCCCGAGUAGCUGGGACUACAGGCGCGUGCCACCAUGCCCGGCUAAUUUUUGUAUUUUUAGUAGAGAUUGGGUUUCACCAUAUUGGCCAGGCUGGUCUUGAACUCCUGACCUCGUGAUCCGCCCACCUCAGCCUCCCAAAGUGCUGGGAUUACAAGUGUGAGCCACCGCGCCCGGCCAGGAAAGUUUUAAGGAGAGUCACCACCAGCUUUGUAACCAGUCUGGGUGUUUUCCACUCAGAUUCUUCUAACAGAGAAAAUGCCAUUGAGGAUGAAGAGGAGGAGGAGGAGGAAGAUGAUGAUGAGGAAGAAGACGACUUGGAAGUUAAGGAAGAAAAUGGAGUCUUGGUCCUAAAUGAUGCAAACUUUGAUAAUUUUGUGGCUGACAAAGACACAGUGCUGCUGGAGUUUUAUGCUCCAUGGUGUGGACAUUGCAAGCAGUUUGCUCCGGAAUAUGAAAAAAUUGCCAACAUAUUAAAGGAUAAAGAUCCUCCCAUUCCUGUUGCCAAGAUCGAUGCAACCUCAGCGUCUGUGCUGGCCAGCAGGUUUGAUGUGAGUGGCUACCCCACCAUCAAGAUCCUUAAGAAGGGGCAGGCUGUAGACUACGAGGGCUCCAGAACCCAGGAAGAAAUUGUUGCCAAGGUCAGAGAAGUCUCCCAGCCCGACUGGACGCCUCCACCAGAAGUCACGCUUGUGUUGACCAAAGAGAACUUUGAUGAAGUUGUGAAUGAUGCAGAUAUCAUUCUGGUGGAGUUUUAUGCCCCAUGGUGUGGACACUGCAAGAAACUUGCCCCCGAGUAUGAGAAGGCCGCCAAGGAGCUCAGCAAGCGUUCUCCUCCAAUUCCCCUGGCAAAGGUCGACGCCACCGCAGAAACAGACCUGGCCAAGAGGUUUGAUGUCUCUGGCUAUCCCACCCUGAAAAUUUUCCGCAAAGGAAGGCCUUAUGACUACAACGGCCCACGAGAAAAAUAUGGAAUCGUUGAUUACAUGAUCGAGCAGUCCGGGCCUCCCUCCAAGGAGAUUCUGACCCUGAAGCAGGUCCAGGAGUUCCUGAAGGAUGGAGACGAUGUCAUCAUCAUCGGGGUCUUUAAGGGGGAGAGUGACCCAGCCUACCAGCAAUACCAGGAUGCCGCUAACAACCUGAGAGAAGAUUACAAAUUUCACCACACUUUCAGCACAGAAAUAGCAAAGUUCUUGAAAGUCUCCCAGGGGCAGUUGGUUGUAAUGCAGCCUGAGAAAUUCCAGUCCAAGUAUGAGCCCCGGAGCCACAUGAUGGACGUCCAGGGCUCCACCCAGGACUCGGCCAUCAAGGACUUCGUGCUGAAGUACGCCCUGCCCCUGGUUGGCCACCGCAAGGUGUCAAACGAUGCUAAGCGCUACACCAGGCGCCCCCUGGUGGUCGUCUACUACAGUGUGGACUUCAGCUUUGAUUACAGAGCUGCAACUCAGUUUUGGCGGAGCAAAGUCCUAGAGGUGGCCAAGGACUUCCCUGAGUACACCUUUGCCAUUGCGGACGAAGAGGACUAUGCUGGGGAGGUGAAGGACCUGGGGCUCAGCGAGAGUGGGGAGGAUGUCAAUGCCGCCAUCCUGGACGAGAGUGGGAAGAAGUUCGCCAUGGAGCCAGAGGAGUUUGACUCUGACACCCUCCGCGAGUUUGUCACUGCUUUCAAAAAAGGAAAACUGAAGCCAGUCAUCAAAUCCCAGCCAGUGCCCAAGAACAACAAGGGACCCGUCAAGGUCGUGGUGGGAAAGACCUUUGACUCCAUUGUGAUGGACCCCAAGAAGGACGUCCUCAUCGAGUUCUACGCGCCAUGGUGCGGGCACUGCAAGCAGCUAGAGCCCGUGUACAACAGCCUGGCCAAGAAGUACAAGGGCCAAAAGGGCCUGGUCAUCGCCAAGAUGGACGCCACUGCCAACGACGUCCCCAGCGACCGCUAUAAGGUGGAGGGCUUCCCCACCAUCUACUUCGCCCCCAGUGGGGACAAAAAGAACCCAGUUAAAUUUGAGGGUGGAGACAGAGAUCUGGAGCAUUUGAGCAAGUUUAUAGAAGAACAUGCCACAAAACUGAGCAGGACCAAGGAAGAGCUUUGAAGGCCUGAGGUCUGCGGAAGGUGGGAGGAGGCAGACGCCCUGCGUGGCCCAUGGUCGGGGCGUCCACGCCGAGGCCGGCAACAAACGACAGUAUCUCGGAUUCCUUUUUUUUUUUUUUUAAUUUUUUAUACUUUGGUGUUUCACUUCAUGCUCUGAAUACUGAAUAACCAUGAAUGACUGAAUAGUUUAGUCCAGAUUUUUACAGAGGAUACAUCUAUUUUUAUCAUUAUUUGGGGUUUGAAAAAUUUUUUUUUACACCUUCUAAUUUCUUUAUUUCUCAAAGCAGAUAAUUCUUCUGUGUGAAAAUGUUUUCUUUUUUUAAUUUAAGGUUUAAAAUUCCUUUUCCAAAUCAUGUUGAUUUUGCUCUUUGCUUUUUCGUUGUCUGAGAAAUUGUUGGCGUAGAUUUGGCUUCUGGUAUGUGUUUCUGAUUGCUUCCUGUUGAGCACAAAGUGAGAGCUGCCACUGAGCAGCCCUGCCAGGGGUGCUGUUUCAGGCUGGGCAUCGCCAGGCGGCCUCCCUGCAAACCAAGGGCUGGGGGCAAAGGGGCAUGAUCCAGGGUCCCCCAGGGUGGGCUCAGCUCCAGGGAGAGGCCACCCACGUGGCAGCCCCACCUCUUGAGAGCCCCCAGUGCCGGAGCAGAAAGGACCCUGGACCCAGAGGCAGAUACUGCGGGGUGGUAGAAAAGGUAGAGUAGGCUGUGGCAAUGGAAUAAAACACGAUUAAAAACGUUAAGAACUGCGUUA